CCGGCCUCUGCCUCCUCUGUCUUCCCGGCUCCACGCAAGAGCGGCUCACUGCGGAACCUCAACGGCAUCCGGGACCGGAACCUCAAAGGCGUCCAGGAACAGAGCGUUCAGCCUUCCAGCUCUGUGACACAAGAAGGCCCCCAGAAGGAGCUGACUGGAUCAUGUCCAGAAGAACUGGGGGCAACGUAUGGGACGAGCCUGAGCAACGGUGGAGCCAAGGCAAACUGCCCGGUGAAUUCCAGCUCUGAAGCAGAUGGUUGUAAUCAGUCCCCGCGGGUGAGCCUUGGAGGGAAACUAAACAAGACACGGAGCGAGGAUCGGGGAUUCUGUGACUCACUGGGCUCAACCCCAGGCCCGGAGUGAGGGUGCUGGCUGCUUCCAACCUGUUCUUCGCCUGGCAGAGAAGGGGAAAAAAAUCAUAACAUAAACCAGGCUGUGAGCGGUGCGCCGGCGAAGUCCUCACCUCUAACUCUGACGGCAAGUGCUCGCCAAGAGCUGCAGAUGGAAGGAGCGCUUGGGAGGAGGUGGCAUCUGGUCUGUGGAGGCCAGAUCGUGCGACAUGCAUGGAAAAACGGUGGGAAGGUUGGACUCUGCCAGAGAUCACUGAAGUCGUUCAAGUUUUGAGCAGGAGCCAAGAGUUACAGCAGCCAGGGGCUCCAAGACCCUCUAGCCCAACAAGACAAGGAUCAGAGUGGAUAUGUCGCGGAGCGGAGUGGCAGGGCACAGCUGGGGAGCCGCACGACGCAGGGAGUGUGAAGAGCCAGGAAGGACUGGUGGCCUGAGAAGGUGGUCCAACCAGGUCACAGUGCCACGGGCAGGAGAAACAGCGGGCUCCAGAGACACACCCUGGCGGCCUUAGUUGUCUGCCCAGACCACAGAGGACCGGGGACCCAACGUGAGGGUGCCUGGCACCACCUGGAAUGGGCCCGUGGGCCGCCACUAGCUUUCCUGGGCCACCUCCACUCCUCUAGCAAUGCUGACCUAUUUGCGGGUUUUUCAAAUGUACCUCCCUUUCUUGCAUCUGUGUGCUUUUUCUGUAAGAUGUUUUCUAAAACCCUCUCCUCCAAUUCCCACACCACACUGCCGAAAGUGUUGUCCUUCAAGAUGGUGUCGCUUGCUUAUGUGAAACCUAUGCCCUCCCACCAGCGCUUAUAGGAAGGCAGCCAAACGCGGCAUCCAAUGCUCUUCCCAAUCUGCCCAAACCCACCUCUCGCAGCCCUUCUGUGGCCCCCUCCCGUGGCACCUGCCGUUCUCCCGUAAAUACUCCGCAAAGCCUUCCCUGACUCUCCGAGGCAGGACUGACUGCCCUUUGGCCCGUGUUCCCUCACCCCUGGCUUUAUACCAGCAUUGCCCUCACCAGUGUUCAGCGCGUUACGUACAAAGGUGUGUGAUUUCAGUUCCUCCGACUGGGAGGCCAUGGCAGGCAGGGGCUCUGUCUCAUUCAUCUUUGUAUCAAUAGUGCCAGAGUGGGUAAUCCAAGUGGAAAAGUCCAAAAGGUGAUGUAUGAAUGGGUGAGCUAAUGCAUAGGUGAAUUUACACAAAAUGCCAGACCAAUUUGGCAAUAUUUAGAAAAAUAUCGUCUUGGACAAAGGAUAUAGCUAAGAGUUCAUCCCUACAUCAGAGCAAAACAACUGGCAACUUAUGUUUACGCCUUUGUUCUCAAAGAGAACCUAUUUAUUUAUUAUUUAUUUUUUAA
rnacentral:lncRNA from 1 species